GACGAACGCUGGCGGCGUGCCUAAUACAUGCAAGUAGAACGCAGUUGCGAACGGGCGAGUAACGCGUAGGUAACUGCCUGGUAGCGGGGGAUAACUAUUGGAAACGAUAGCUAAUACCGCAUACUACCAGAUGGACCUGCGUUGUAUUAGCUAGUUGGUGGGGUAACGGCUCACCAAGGCAACGAUAGAUAGCCGAUCUGAGCGGGUGAUCGGCCAAACGGGGACUGAGACACGGCCCAGACGUCUACGGGAGGCAGCAGGAGGGAAUCUUCGGCAAUGGACGGAAGUCUGACCGAGCAACGCCGCGUGAGUGAAGAAGGUUUUCGGAUCGUAAAGCUCUGUUGUAAGGGAAGCGGUAUCCGACCAGAAAGGGACGGCUAACUACGUGCCAGCCGCCGCGGUAAUAC
rnacentral:rRNA from 1 species